rnacentral:rRNA from 1 species
GAUGAACGCUAGCGGCAGGCCUAACACAUGCAAGUCGAGGGAGAGGUUACCUUCGGGUAACCAAAACCGGCGCACGGGUGCGUAACGCGUAUACAAUCUGCCUUUCACAUAGGGAUAGCCCGAAGAAAUUUGGAUUAAUACCUAAUGGUAUAUAAGAGCGGCAUCGUUUUUAUAUUAAAGCUUCGGUGGUGAAAGAUGAGUAUGCGUUCUAUUAGCUAGUUGGAGAGGUAACGGCUCCCCAAGGCGACGAUAGAUAGGGGUUCUGAGAGGGAUGUCCCCCACACUGGUACUGAGAUACGGACCAGACUCCUACGGGAGGCAGCAGUGAGGAAUAUUGGACAAUGGUCGGAAGACUGAUCCAGCCAUGCCGCGUGCAGGAUGAAGGUCCUAUGGAUUGUAAACUGCUUUUGUAAGGGAAGAAUAAGGAGUACGUGUACUUUGAUGACGGUACCUUACGAAUAAGCAUCGGCUAACUCCGUG